rnacentral:lncRNA from 7 species
ACUUUUAAAACUGGAAUAGCUGUGGGUUACUUAUCACAGCAGUAAUGGGCCUUCUGAAGGCAAGGGUCAGCUGGCAGGACUGUAUCUCCAGCUUUGAAUUCCUAUCCGGUCCUUCUAAAGAAAUUCUGUUGUGUUACUGACAGCUGAUGCAUGAAGUGAAGUUUGGUGACAGGACUUAAUGUUUUUAAUAACAUCAAAACUACUUGCAGGAAGAGAUUCUUAACAUUCAUUGUGAAAGGCUGAAGGUCGUGCAAUGUUGUACAGUCACUAAUGUUAUGAAGAUAGGAGUCUGCCCCCAGAAACUUGUGCUGCAGCGGCAAGACAGAACACACUCAGCACUGGGUGGGACUUGGAGAGCGUCCUGGGAAAGAGUAGGAGCUCCUGAAUCAGUGAAUCAUGUAUGCUAUUUAGGCAUGAUUGUUUACCUUUAAAAGAAAAAAAAAAAAAAAAAAAGUUGUUUAAUGCAUUAAUAACUAUAAUCUCUUAUUUAAUAACUGAGUGGUCAAACUUGUUCUGUUUGUCUGUGAAAAUAACAAUUGCAUUCAAUGGCAUACUUGUCUGUAGCUAGGAAAUGUUUGUGUUCUACAUGGCUUGAUUUACUGGAUCAGGAAGAUAAUUUAAUUGAAACUACAGUAGCUUAGUUUGUAGCGUUAUUUGUUAAUAAGGCAUUAGAAAUAACAUUGCUAAUUAAAGGCUAAGAAAAUGAUAUUAAGAUCUAGGAUAAGAAUCGGUUCAGAAUAGGCUGUAAUUUGGAUCACAUAUAUACUGAAAAUUGACAUGCAGUCUCUGCAGUUUUUUGGCUCAAACAGUACGAGAUUUAGGUUGUAUCUUGAUCAGAAACUCAAACUGUGCUGAGAAGGAGUAGGAGGGAAAAGAGGAUCAUGUGUUUGGACUGAAAUCUUGUUUAUGUAGAUUUCCGUCACAAGUGGUGAAUCUCACUGUUUAUCCAUACACAGCGCUUGCUCUCUGUACGCGUAGGUGAAGAAAUCAAGGCUUGCUUUAUCCAUUUCUACUGUACGUAAGAGCAGACAUUUAGUACACAGACAAUUCAAAGAU